rnacentral:rRNA from 1 species
AAUGGCUCAUUAAAUCAGUUAUCGUUCAUUUGAUAGUACCUUACUACUUGGAUAACCGUGGUAAUUCUAGAGCUAAUACAUGCUAAAAACCCCGACUCCGGGAGGGGUGUAUUUAUUAGAUAAAAAACCAAUGCCCUCCGGGGCUCUUUGGUGAUUCAUGAUAACUUAACGGAUCGCAUGGCCUUGCGCCGGCGACGGUUCAUUCAAAUUUCUGCCCUAUCAACUUUCGAUGGUAAGGUAUUGGCUUACCAUGGUUUCAACGGGUAACGGGGGAUUAGGGUUCGACUCCGGAGAGGGAGCCUGAGAAACGGCUACCACAUCCAAGGAAGGCAGCAGGCGCGCAAAUUACCCAAUCCCGACUCGGGGAGGUAGUGACAAUAAAUACUGAUACAGGGCUCUUUUGGGUCUUGUAAUUGGAAUGAGUACAAUUUAAACCCCUUAACGAGGAACAAUUGGAGGGCAAGUCUGGUGCCAGCAGCCGCGGUAAUUCCAGCUCCAAUAGCGUAUAUUAAAGUUGUUGCAGUUAAAAAGCUCGUAGUUGAACCUUGGGCCUGGCUGGCCGGUCCGCCUCACCGCGUGCACUGGUCCGGCCGGGCCUUUCCUUCUGGAGAGCCCCAUGCCCUUCACUGGGCGUGUGGGGGAACCAGGACUUUUACUUUGAAAAAAUUAGAGUGUUCAAAGCAGGCCUUUGCUCGAAUACAUUAGCAUGGAAUAAUAGAAUAGGACGUGCGGUCCUAUUUUGUUGGUUUCUAGGACCGCCGUAAUGAUUAAUAGGGAUAGUCGGGGGCAUCCGUAUUCAAUUGUCAGAGGUGAAAUUCUUGGAUUUAUUGAAGACGAACUACUGCGAAAGCAUUUGCCAAGGAUGUUUUCAUUAAUCAGUGAACGAAAGUUAGGGGAUCGAAGACGAUCAGAUACCGUCGUAGUCUUAACCGUAAACUAUGCCGACUAGGGAUCGGGCGAUGUUACUAUUUUGACUCGCUCGGCACCU